rfam:Pan troglodytes isolate Yerkes chimp pedigree #C0471 (Clint) chromosome 8, whole genome shotgun sequence.
GCCAGGCGUGGUGGCGCACGCCUGUAAUCCCAGCUACUUGGGAGGCUGAGGCAGGAGAAUUGCUUGAACCUAGUGGGUGGAGGUUUCAGUGAGCUGAGAUUGCACACUGCACUCCAGCCUGGGUGACAGAGCGAGACUCUGCCUCAA